AGCAAAAGGGCCCGUCACCCCAACCCCCUACCCCCACCUUUUGCAGCGUGGACAAGUGGCUUGUAAUGCAGCUUGGAGCAAAAUAAAGUCUGAACAAAACUAGACUGUGAGACUAGCACGUCCCAGAGUGAAAGUGAGUGACGUUAACGCAGACUCCGUAAAGACUCGGAGCACUUGCAGGCAAAACUAAAAUUCCCUUUUUUUAUAAAAGAAAGAAAAGAAAAUCAUUAACUGGGUUCAGAUCUAAAAUGCUGCUUUUAAAAUGCACGCACAUGUUGAAGACUCAGCGACUGUAAUUUCUUGGGUAAACAUCUGGUGAAGACAUUCCAGGAACACAUCUGAAAGGAAGAAAGGAGAAGCGUUUAGGGACCAGGCCCACCAAUAUUCCCCAUAAAGUUAACGCUACCAGAAACGUGCGGUGCAUUUAGGACUCCGACUGGGGACUCACUGAACACCAGACUGAUCAAGGAAGAGGACUCCAAGCAAAAUAAUAAACUUGAUGAAGAUUGUAUUUUGGCUACUCUAUUUCAGUAGCUAUUCCUCUAACUUAACUAAAUCGUGCAGCUUCAUGCGAUCGCACCUUCUACCGCUCCCCUGUGUCCUCACUAACCCACUCGGCAGUUCUCUCCAAAGGAGUCUGCAGAUAGUGGAAACCCUCCCAGCGGGACUCAGGACCUAAAGCGAUCAGUUUCAAAAGUUCUGAGAAAAUGUCUUCUUCAGAAACUACAAAUGGUGCAAAUCAUUUACCUAAUUCAUUCAAGAGCCUCUAUAGGAAGGACUUCGGAGGAUGAUGAUCCCCAUACUGCGGUACUAAUGAAAAUCCCCUUAGUCCGUCUCUCUUGGCCCCGCGAGGGACGGUGUCCGCUCCCUGUCUGCGGUAGAGAGGCCCUGGCCAGCAGCGCUCCGGCGGCCCCUCCUCAUCUGUCCCCAGAUGGCACAACCAGAGCGCAAAGCGACAGCAGCGACUCCGGACUCCGCUGGGGCCACUGUCCGAUCCGCCGCUGUCACACGACCCUUGCCACCCCCUCCCCGCCCCGCAGCGCGGGCCACUCCUCCUGCUUUCCCUUCCUUCUCACCCUCCCCAGUGAUUUUUAUUGGGGGGGGGAUGUAAAAUGGGAACGUUCCCUCCCUCGCGUUACCCACUUGCUCAGCCUUCUCCCACCCGGCUGGAUUGGAAUUAAAAUCCGGGAAUUCAAUUUUGCUGCGAAAUCUCGGUUUCCUAGGGAGGGGCUGGAGGGAAGGAAGACCCUGCGGAGUAUGCGGGCCAAAGAAGCCCCCCCACCCCGCCGCCCUGCCUUCCCGUAGGGAGGAUGAAAGCGAAGGGUCCCGGGAGGGGCCCCCGGGCUCCCCCCGCCCAGGGGGCGAGAGCUUUGGGGAGGAGGAGGCCGAGGCCAGGCGGCGAGCGUGGGGCGGGGGCUUUACGGCUCGCGGGUAACCGGACCCCCCCCCUUCCCAGGCAGGGGCGCUCUUGGCCCUGCAGGUGCACCCCCGCCCCC